rnacentral:rRNA from 1 species
GNGUCGGUUCGGCCGGAUUUUACACAAGUGUUGCAUGGCUGUCGUCAGCUCGUGUCGUGAGAUGUUGGGUUAAGUCCCGCAACGAGCGUAACCCUCAUCCUUAGUUGCUAUCAGGUAAUGCUGAGUACUUUAAGGAAACUGCCAGUGAUAAGCUGGAGGAAGGUGGGGAUGAUGUCAAGUCAUCAUGGCCUUUAUGAAGUGGGCUACACACGUGCUACAAUGGUGUCUACAAUGGGCUGCAAGGUGCGCAAGCCUAAGCUAAUCCCUAAAAGACAUCUCAGUUCGGAUUGUACUCUGCAACUCGAGUACAUGAAGUUGGAAUCGCUAGUAAUCGUGGAUCAGCAUGCCACGGUGAAUACGUUCUCGGGUCUUGUACACACUGCCCGUCACGCCAUGG